GGUUUGGUAGCUCAGUUGGUAGAGCAAAGGACUGAAAAUCCUUGUGUCGGCGGUUCGAUUCCGCCCCAAACCACCA
rnacentral:tRNA from 1 species